UUUGUUUUUAGUAAUUUAUAUCAGCUUGGAGGUGAAUUUAUGGGGGAGAUAUAGUAAUACUGAUUGUUGAUGCCUUUUUGUUGACCUUCUUGAAUGAGUUUGUGUUUUUAAUUGUUUAAAAAAACAAUUUAUUGCAAGAAAAAUGCUAGGAUGUUUUUCUGGAAAAUGCUCUAGAAACAUGAGAUUCAUAGUCAAACACCCUGAGCUACGACUUGUAAUAGCUUCUUGAGGUGAGUGCUACUCUGGUUUCCCUUUAUUUGUUGCAUAUUCAUUGAAUAUAGGGAAGGUUCUCUAAUGUAGUUUUUAUCCCUAAAAUUGAUUUAGUUGUUUCUAGUUAUUUUGGUUUUACGAAUUUUUUUUAUAUCUUCUGUUUCAUUAUCUACCUUUUUCAUGAAUGCCGGAAGCUUAUCCGAAAUGUACAGGGUGUGAGGGUGUGUAGCAACUGGAUUACCUUUUUUCUGGAUGAAAAGUGAUUAAUUAUUUCUUGGUCUGAUAAAAAAUAUAUUAAGUUCCUGUCAUUAAUUCAGUUUCAUGAUUUUUCAUUUCAAGACUAGACAGUUUUGAAAAUCCAUGAAGAAAAUUAAGGUAUUCUCCCUUAUAGGUUGAACAUACCAAAGGCAGGAUUUGGAGGCAAGUAUGGACAUUAUUUAUCUGAUGAUUGCUUGUAAUUAUUGUUGUCUGUAUAUAGUUAAAUCAUGAUUCCAAUUGUUUGCUUACUGUUAGAUUAUCUAUUUUUCCGAUUGUCCAGCUCAAGAACACCAAGGGCUAUACCUUGAAGUGUAGUCAAUGUACCUCUAUCAUGAUUUCCAAUAAAGUUUUUAAUUUUUUGUUAUUUUAUUGAUUCUUAACCCAUGAUUGAGGGCAUUCAUUAACACUUAGCUGGAUCCUUUCAGAAAGUGGAAAAGAAGAGGAAAAUAGCUGAUUUUUCCCCUUUUGAGUACAUAUUUUUUAAAAAUUUGAUGGCCAAGUCACUGGGUUUUGUAGUAUCUUAUGGUCCUACCUUUACUCUGUAUAUAAGUAAUUAUGAGCCACCCAUAUAUUCAAAUUUGUAGUUUAAUUGACUAUUCCCUUUUACUUUGGUGUGAUGUAGUCUUUUUUAUGGAGCUGAAGACCCUUCUAUUGUAGGAAUGAUGUUGGAUAGUGCCUUUUCAAACUUAUAUGAUCUCAUGAUAGAGCCUGUGGAUGUUUAUAAAAUUUGGCUGCCUAAAUUUAUUUUCAAUGGUUGGAUGGAACCUCAACAUUUUUGUAUUCAUUCUUCGAUGGGUGAGGUGAAAUUAAGGAGUAGAGAAUAUGACUGACAAGUUCAUCAUCUGGGCAACCUCAAUUCAUUGCCUGCACCGGUGGUAACCGGAGCUUCUCGAAUGCACCCUUGAUUGAAAACUCAGAUACUGAUCAAAUUGUUGUACCUGAUCUGAGUUUCUAUAUGACUUGUCCUUUUUUGUUUUUUAUUGAUAGAGGUUGAAGAGUUGAAAGUGAAAGGCUGGUCCUUUUUUUUUUAUUGUGAUAUAACUCUAUAUAUGACUUUUAUAGAAAAAAAGGAAGUCAAUUUUAAAUCUAUUAGUCUUAGAUUACAAAAACACUUAAGUCAUUUUGCUCUCUUUUGUUUAGCUUCUUGUGUUUCUCUCGAAUGGAGAAACAGAAUAACUAAUGGAAUUGAGAAUAACUAAUGAGCCUAGUCUUGUUUCUCAACUUUGAAACAUAGAUAGGUAGUGUGGAGAUUGGAGAAGGGGUUUCCAAAGCAGUAAUUUUUUUUUCUCUCUAGUGAAAAUAGGGACAUAAAAUGAUGAGGAUGAAAUGGCAUUGUUGUUGUUAUGGUUUUUUUUUUUUUUUUUUUUUUUUAAGAAAAUAGAAGCAGGAUCGGUCCAACAUAAAGUGAGAUCUAAAACAAAAAUUGAGAAAAAAAAUUUGUUAAAAAAGAGUGAUAUAUAAGACUUUUUUUUAACAUGUGUGACCUUUUUUACUUUAACAAAUUAAUAGCAAAUAUUGGUAGAUAUAAAACUUAAGUUUUAAUUAUUUUACUCUUGGGUCAACUCUGUAUAGUAGGAUUAUUUUAGAGAUAGUUAAUUGAUAUAUUUAUCACAUAUAUAACAAAAUGCAACUAGUAUCACUAACAUAAUUGAUAUAUGUUUGGUAUGUAUAUAGCUUAAGUUUUAGAUAUUGCCAAUGUUGGUGUAGACGAUACUACUGCAGUAGCUAAGGCAGUGAUCUUAAAGGGAACAAGGGACAUUGGAGCUAUUGUAGGAUCAAGGGUUGCAAAUAUAUAUGGCCUUGACAUUCUAGCUGAAGAAAUCCAGGUAAGUAUUCAUUUACAUGUAUUGGCAUUGUCUACCCAUAUUACAUGUAUUGGUAGUGAAAAAACAUGGUAUAUAGUGUGGGAGAAAACAGUUGAAGCAAGUUUCGAUUAGUCCCCAUCACCCUCAAGAGCAACUAGCUCAUCCUUGGGCAGACUAGAUUCAAUUUUCUCUACAUAUUAUUUUCAUUCAAUUUUUUGGAUUUAAUUUCUGUCUUUUGACUAGAUCUCCCAUAUUCUUUUUAGUUUCUAUUAAGUUUUGUGUCUGUUCUCAAGCUAGCCCAAGAAAACUGAAUAAUUUUAGUUAAAUGAUAUAAUAAAUUGUAACUAACCAUGACCUUGAAAAUUAAAAGGUACCUAAAAGUGAAACUUCCUUCACUCUCUCUAGCUAUUUUUAUUUUGAAAUGCUGCUUAAUUCAAGGAAGAGAGAAGCACAUGAAGCUGCAUAUGCAAUGUGUUGCAAUAUGGAACAAGCCUAGGUAGGGUGAGACUUGUGACAAUGCAUGGCCCUAAAUUCUCAACAAUUACAGUAACUGCCUCGCCAAAGGUAACAACAACUCUAGAAAAUAGCAUUAAUAAUUGCAUUUCUUGUAUUUGGCUUUGAAAAUUUGAAAUAUUUUGCUUUGAUCAAGGGGAGGGUUCUUUUAAUUUUGAUCUUGUGCAUUGUGAAACUUGAAAUCAUAGGUUUAUAAACUCCCUAAUGAGAAAGAGGUUGUUUUUGGGGCAUUAGACAAAUGGACAGCUUGGGAAACAGAGUUCCUAGUGAUUGCAAUGUCUAAGGCUUUAAAAAUCUUAAGGAAAAUGGGUCAUUGGGUUCCUGUAAUUCAAGUAAGAUCAUAACUAUUCUAAAGAAUUCUUGUUUUGUAUCAUACCAAGUGCUUUGUUUGCCUUUAUGAAUUUUUAAAGAAUAUUUGACAACAAUGGGAGCCAUCACCGCACGCUAACUUAGGCACAUUCAAGUGCUUGGCCCUGCAUGGUUCUAUGCUCAUGUAGGCGUGAUCAUCAACACAAUUCUCCAUAUUACUCUUUAAUUUCAACCAUUCAUAUUUUUAGUUUGACUAUUUUUCUUUUUUUAAAAAUAACCAUAUACAUGUUUUUUUAUAUAGUAGACAGUAAAAAAACUAUGUACUAGUGCUUUUCUUCGUGUUUGUGGAGGUCUUCUUCAAGCUAAGGGUCAAUAUCUUGGGGAAAUGAGAUUCAACUUUUCAUGCAAGGUUAGAAUCCAAGUUAUUGAAGGCUUUGAUGAAAUGAUUUUUGAAGUUCACAAUAUUUUAGCUUGAACUAUUUUCCUUGUGCAUUGGAACUAAUAUCGAUUACUCUUCUUUGAUAAAAUUGUUUACUCUAAAGUAUGGACAAAUUUUUAUGCUUAAAAAUUCAAACAUUGUGUUCGAGUAGUACACUAAAGUUUGAAGGCAUAGUUUACUCUUUAAAUAAAUGUAGUGUAGUUUGAUGGUUUCAUUCGUGAGAAAAAAAGAAGCUUUUGAAGCUGUGUUUUCUUGAUUUUAAUCCUGGUUAAGAAGCAUUGAACUAUGUGACCUGCAUACUUUAUUCUUUAAUUUAAGAUGUAGUUCAAAAUUGAGAAAUUUGCAUGUGUAAUGUAACUUCUAGUUUUCUGAACUGUGUUUUUGUUGUAUUUGUUUUGCCUCUGCUUGGAAAACUAUUUGUUUCAAAUAUUCUAAUAACAUAGUCAAUCAAAUGGUUUUCAACCCUAUGUAAAAGGGGUAGAGGGAGACCAAGAAGGACAUGGACAUAAAUAAUUAAAAGGGAUUUUAUAGUGAACUAUUCCCUUGAGAAUUUGGUUUUUAGUCGGGUCCAAUGAUGUUAUGUGAUCGAUCUAGCUGAUUUUACUUGAUGGGAUUAGACUAUUGUUGUUUUAUUCUCGAAACAUAAUAAUGUUUUGGAUUAGUUUAUUUUUGUUAAAAUAGAUUUUGAUCAAAAUCUUACUGAGAGGGCUUGAGCUUUUAAAAAAAAAGCUAUUGGCCCUGCAAAUUAUGUCAGUUUAAUUAAUUGUCUAAUAUAUCUAAUGCAUUUAUAAUACAAAUGUAACUAAUCUUUUGGUGUACUUCAUUAUUGUCUCAAAUUCUCUCGUUAACUUGCAUUUUCAAUUUCAUUCAUACACCCUGCUCUGUUUUGAUAUUCUAUAUGUGGUUAGUGUGUGUCCUACUGUUGGUGGAAGCAAUCCAGGAUAUGCAAGAGUUAUUUUGGAUGUUUUCUAAUGUUGAAAAACAUGUUUAUGAUAGCAUGAGGAGUUCAUCUUAUAAUUUUUAAUGUUGUUUAUUAAUCAUAAAAUGAUUGUUAUCAGUUGAUCGGGGAAAUAUCAGUUCACUAAUCACAAGGUGUUGCUUAGUUGGCUAAUUGAGCCCGAUAGGAUUUGAGGGAUUAAGUUGCACCCUAAACUGAAAAACUGCAAUGUUGUAAUGUUAGAUACUCACAUAGGUACAUAUACCCUCAAAAUAUUUUAAUAUUUUCAAAAAAUACGUUCUAAGACGAUUCUUUGAAAAACCGUCAUAGAAUGUCUAC